CAUGUUGGUUGUGAGGGUCGUGAGCCCUGGGAAGAAGUGCUGCUACUGGUGGCAUCUUCUGUUCUUCUCCCAGGGCCAGCACUGAGGUCCGGGUGAUCAGGUUGCUCAGCCUCUUCUCGCCUUCAGCGUCUCCAGCGACGGGGCCGGCUUUUCCCCUGUUUCCUCCAGCAGAGCCAGGAGGCUUGGUGGCUUGGUCAAGGCAUGCCGGUCUUGAGGGCCCUCAGCAGUGUGGGGAGCACGAAGUACGCACUGCUGCUGCCUGCGGCCACCCUGGCUCAGCCCCAGCAAUGCACGAAGAGCUGCCUUUGGUUCCUGAUUAUGCACACACCCACAUUUGUGGAGCCCAGCUUUGCUUAGAUACUCGCGUAGCCAUGCAGGUGCUCAGUCAGUGGUUCAGGCCAUGACUCAGAAGUUCCCAUACAGCAGAAGAGGACCUCUGCUUCUGGAAGGAUGGAGGAGAAAGUGAGGAACUCACCAGCCCUUGUUUACCGUCUGGUUUCAAAUCUGGGUGGCAGCAUGCUGAGAUAGUGUACGAAAUCAAAGGACAGCAGCCUCUGUGUCACUCUUGCUCUGACAAAGCAGCAAAGAUGCUCCACCAGAGAGCGCAUAAAGGUGAGGAAGUGAAGGACUUGGAUUUUCAUGCUUUCCCCUGCUGUGAUGCUUUGUUCAGCAGAGGCCGGACUCAUAGGUAAGCUUGUUUUCAUUUCAUUGCACUUUAAAUGGCAGGUAGUAGAAGAAGUGGC
rnacentral:lncRNA from 1 species